GAAGACGGUGAUUUCUGCAUUUCCAUCUGAGUGAAGGAAGAAUAAUCUGAGCUUGAAAUAAAGACUUAGAAUAUAGAUCACCGCCUGCAACCUUCUCACUCAAAAUUAGAAGACAUUACUGGAUAGUUUCAAGGGAAGUUAUUAACUUGAGAAAAACCCAGAAAUAAGCCAUGGAAGAUGUGCCUGCUUCCCCUUCACCUUCCACUACGAUUGAAAAUUUCCUGAGACCUCCUCAGAAGCCGAGCAGGUGCCAG
rnacentral:lncRNA from 1 species